rnacentral:tRNA from 1 species
AGCAGUGUGGCUCAGUGGAAAGAGCACGGGCUUGGGAGUCAGAGGUCAUGGGUUCGAAUCCCAGCUCUCCCA